rnacentral:rRNA from 1 species
AGUGAACGCUGGCGGUAGGCCUAACACAUGCAAGUCGAACGGCAGCACAGUAAGAGCUUGCUCUUACGGGUGGCGAGUGGCGGACGGGUGAGGAAUACAUCGGAAUCUACUUUUUCGUGGGGGAUAACGUAGGGAAACUUACGCUAUUACCGCAUACGACCUACGGGUGAAAGCAGGGGAUCUUCGGACUUUGCGCGAUUGAAUGAGCCGAUGUCGGAUUAGCUAGUUGCGGGGUAAAGGCCCACCAAGGCGACGAUCCGUAGCUGGUCUGAGAGGAUGAUCAGCCACACUGGAACUGAGACACGGUCCAGACUCCUACGGGAGGCAGCAGUGGAGAAUAUUGGACAAUGGGCGCAAGCCUAAUCCAGCCAUACCGCGUGGGUUAAGAAGGCCUUCGGGUUGUAAAGCCCUUUUGUUGGGAAAGAAAAGCAGCAGGUUAAUACCCCGCUGUUCUGACGGUACCCAAAGAAUAAGCACCGGCUAACUUCGUG